GACGAACGCUGGCGGCGUGCCUAAUACAUGCAAGUCGAACGAGAGCGACCGGUGCUUGCACUGGUCAAUCUAGUGGCGAACGGGUGAGUAACACGUGGGUAACCUGCCCAUCAGAGGGGGAUAACAUCCGGAAACGGAUGCUAAAACCGCAUAGGUCUUCGAACCGCAUGGUUUGAAGAGGAAAAGAGGCGCAAGCUUCUGCUGAUGGAUGGACCCGCGGUGCAUUAGCUAGUUGGUGAGGUAACGACUCACCAAGGCCGUGAUGCAUAGCCGACCUGAGAGGGUGAUCGGCCACAUUGGGACUGAGACGCGGCCCAAACUCCUACGGGAGGCAGCAGUAGGGAAUCUUCCGCAAUGGACGCAAGUCUGACGGAGCAACGCCGCGUGAGUGAAGAAGGUUUUCGGAUCGUAAAACUCUGUUGUUAGAGAAGAACAAGUGCUAGAGUAACUGUUAGCGCCUUGACGGUAUCUAACCAGAAAGCCACGGCUAACUACGUG
rnacentral:rRNA from 1 species